AACGAACGCUGGCGGCAUGCUUAACACAUGCAAGUCGAACGCUUGCCCUCGGGUGUUAGUGGCGCACGGGUGCGUAAAGCGUGGGAAUCUGCCCUUAGGAUCGGCAUAAUAGCUGGAAACGGCUGCUAGUACCGGAUGAUAUCGCGAGAUCUGAGAUGUGCCGCCUGAGGAUGUGCCCGGGUUGGGUUAUGCAGUUGGUGGGGUAAAGGCCUACCAAGCCGACGAUCGAUAGCUGGUCAGAGAGGAUGAGCGGUCACGCUGGGACUGAGACACGGCCCAGAAUCCUGGAAGAGGGGGCAAUGGGGGAUAUUGGAAUGUGGGCGCGAGCCUGAACCAGCGGUGGCGCUUGAGUGAUGAAGGCCUUAGGGUUAUGAAGCACUUUUACCCGGGAAGAUAAUGACGGUACCGGGAGAAGAAGCCCCGGCUAACUCCGUG
rnacentral:rRNA from 1 species